rnacentral:rRNA from 1 species
AACGUAGGACACAAGCGUUAUCCGGAAUUACUGGGCGUAAAGCGCGUGCAGGCGGGUCACCAAGUCAUGUGUGAAAGCUCCUGGCUAAACUGGGAGAGGACAAAUGAGACUGGUGGUCUGGAGGGCGUCAGAGGAGUGUGGAAUUCCGCGUGUAGUGGUGAAAUGCGUAGAGAUGCGGAGGAACACCAGUGGCGAAGGCGGCACUCUGGGGCGCACCUGACGCUGAGGCGCGAAAGCAUGGGUAGCGAACGGG